rnacentral:lncRNA from 1 species
UCUAAUAUAUCAUAAAAGGUUAAAAUACGAGUAACAGUAAUGCUGUCAGCAAGCUCACCCAUGUGAGUCUUUAAUUUCACCUCCUUUGCAGUUAAAGAGAUAGCAGAGAUCUCCAAGAGGCUCACAGGAAUAUGUAGUAGGAUCUUCGGGGUAGGAGGAAGUGAUGGGAGCAAACUUGAGGUGAAAAAUAUGUAUCGGGGAGAGACACUAAGGUUUGUCUACGUCCUGGAGGAGCAAUGAAUGGCUCUUGAGGCACUCACAGGUCUAGCAAGGUGUCCUUUUUAUGGGUCCAUGAAUGCUAAGCAGAGAGAAAGGACUUUAGGGACAAGGUCUCCUAGUAUGCGAGCAUUCCCCCUGGAUGAGCUGCCACUGACAACUGCGCAUGCAUUGAAAGUACGAGCUGCCUCUCAGAAGAAAAGUGGCCCCUUACCUUUACGGAGUGUAGCGGGCUAUUCUCCUUUUUCCACUGCCUUUGGAUCCCACCGGAGUGCAGCCUGGCCAGGGUCAAUCAUUUGCAAACCGGAAGUAAGGCUUCUCAUAAGGGUCAAAGCUCCUUAGCUUGUGCCCUGAGGGCUGUUGCGGUCUCAGCCGGAGGCCUUCGGUCCUGCUGCAGGCUUGCCCCAGUGAGAGUCCUUCAGAUCCACAGCCGACUGCCAGCCACACACAAGGACCUGAUUGAAGAGCAGGCAAGAAAGCCCAUCUCUCCUUUCCCCUGCAUUCCGGCCCCUCACACUUCUGCGUGGGCGUGUCCCUUCCCAGGGCCCUCAGAGACAGCACCGAGCCAUCUGAAACACAUCUCCCUGGCUCAGGACCCCCUGUUCCCCACAUGGAUGCCGCCAGCCAUGGACCUCCCACCCUCCCCCUGGAAAGCACAGAGCCUCCCUCCCCUCCCCAUCUGCCAGCUCUGGGGAGGAUCUCACUUAACUCCCUGCCUGCCAGGAGCUGAUCCUAACAGGACCAAGAGUCCUCCCCAGGGCUGCUCACAGCCCAGAAGCCUGAAGUCAGCACUCAAAGGCCCAGCAGCCCUUUCUGCAAUAAGGAUGGGAAAUCAAUCUCCCGGCUCUGUGUGCAGACAUCAGAAAGCUGUAGA